AGAAUCAACGCUGGCGGCGUGCCUAACACAUGCAAGUCGAACGAGAAAGUGGAGCAAUCCAUGAGUAAAGUGGCGCACGGGUGAGUAACACGUGACUAACCUACCCUUGAGUGGGGGAUAACCUAGGGAAACCUGGGCUAAUACCGCAUAAUACCUUCGGGUCAAAGGAGCAAUUCGCUUAAGGAGGGGGUCGCGGCCGAUUAGUUAGUUGGCGGGGUAAUGGCCCACAAGACGAUGAUCGGUAU
rnacentral:rRNA from 1 species